rnacentral:ncRNA from 2 species
GCAUCUGCUCCGGGGUGCACGCCAGUGCUGAGAUCAACACCCGCGAACUUGAACCGGCUCAUACCGGCGUAAGAAGAGCAUCUGCCUGCAGG